GCUGGGCAUGGUGGCGCGUGCCUGUAAUCCCAGCUACUCAGGAGGCUGAGGCAGGAGAAUUGCUUGAACCCAGGAGGUGGAGGUUGCGGUGAGCCGAGAUUGUGCCAUCGCACUCCAGCCUGGGUAAUAAGAGCGAAACUCUGUCUCAA
rnacentral:sRNA from 1 species